GACUACAAGGGUAUCUAAUCCUGUUUGCUCCCCACGCUUUCGUGCCUCAACGUCAGAAGUAGCUUGGUAAGGUGCCUUCGCAAUCGGUGUUCUGUAUGAUAUCUAAGCAUUUCACCGCUACACCACGCAUUCCGCCUGCCUCAAACAUACUCAAGCAUCCCAGUUUCAACGGCAAUUCUAUGGUUGAGCCACAGACUUUCACCGCUGACUUAAAAGGCCGCCUACGCACCCUUUAAACCCAAUAAAUCCGGAUAACGCUCGGAUCCUCCGUAUUACCGCGGCUUCUGGCACGGAUUUAGCCGAUCCUGAUUCAUAAGGUACAUACAAAACGGGACACGGCACGCACUUGAUUGCCUUAUAAAAGAGGUUUACGAUCCAUAGACCCUUCAUCCCUCACGCGACUUGGCUGGUUCAGGCUUACGCCCAUUGACCAAUAUUCCUCACUGCUGCCACCCGUAGG
rnacentral:rRNA from 1 species